rnacentral:misc_RNA from 1 species
AACGCACAUUGCGCCUCCCAGUAUCCUGGGAGGCAUGCCUGUCCGAGCGUCGUUUCAACCCUCGAGCCCCCGUGGCCCGGUGUUGGGGAACCGCGAGCGAGAGCUCCCGCGGUCCCCGAAAUGCAGUGGCGGUCCCGCAGCGUCCCGGCCCUUUGCGUAGUAAUUAUCGCUCGCAUUGGCAGGCCCGCGGGUUACCAGCCUUGAAACCCCCUACAAAGACCGCUCCGGCGGCACGGUUGACCUCGGAUCAGGUAGGACUACCCGCUGAACUUAA